UAAAGAAACUUAUGUUUCGCUCUUAGAAGUGUGUAUCUCGUGUAUUGUAGUAGUUAGGGUAAAAGCCUAACUAGCUUUAUACACGCAGUCGAAACUGAGAGGUUGAUCGAUCACAGUGGGCCUGAAUAAAGCCCACGACGAGAGUUACAGCAGUGAGGGAUAUUGGUCAAUAGCCUAACGGCUGAACCAGCAACUUGGAGGAAUGUAUAGCAAUAGCUAAUUGCAUCAAUGUUUAAAUAAUUGAUGCAAUAUCGACUCUGUUGAAUAAAAUUCUAGGUAGAAUUAUGAUAAUGACAUUGUCUACCUAUGUGUCUUGACCAAAUUACGUGCCAGCAGUCGCGGUAAUACGUAGAAGACUAGUGUUAUUCAUCUUUAAUAGGUUUAAAGGGUACCUAGACGGUAAAUCAAGCCUGCAAUAUGGGACUAAUGUACUAGAGUUACUUACGAGGGGGUAUUAAAGUACUGCUGGUGUAGAGAUGAAAUUCUGUCAUACCUCGUUUCGGAAGAAACACUAUGGCACAGGUAUAGGCGAAAGCAUCCCCUUAUGUGAUAACUGACGUUGAAGGACGAAGGCUUUGUGUAGCGAACAGGAUUAGAUACCCCAGUAGUCAAAGCAGAAAAUGAUGAAUGUCAUAGAUUAGAUGUAUAGUUUAUUCUAUAAAUGAAAGUGUAAGCAUUCCACCUCAAGAGUAAUUUGGCAACAUUGGAACUGAAAUCAUUAGACCGUUUCUGAAACCAGUAGUGAAGUAUGUUGUUUAAUUUGAUAGUCCGCAAAAAACCUUACCACAAUUUGAAUAUUUAGAUUUUUAUUUUCUCUUCCUAAUAUUUGGAUAUAAGUUCGAGUCUUAGAUAAGAACUUAUUAGCUCAAAGAUAGAGUAGAAUAUUUAAGAAAAGAAAAUAAAUCCAUUUACAAGCGUUGCACGGCUGUCUUCAGUUAAUGUCGUGAGAUCAUGGUUAGUUCCAUUAAUUAACGUAAACCCUUACUUUAUUUUUAUAUAGAGUUGUUCCCCGCUAGAUUGGAUAAGAUAACAGGGACUAAGACAAGUCAUCAUGG
rnacentral:rRNA from 1 species